CAUCAGCACAUCCUGCUGCCGGUGAGUUUCUCGGUGGGCAUGUACAAGAUGGACUUCAUCAUCUCAACCUCCUCAACGUUGCCAUGGGCAUAUGACCGUGGUGUCUAGAGGCUAGUGGGCAGUGUCUAUACCAUUGUCAGGUUUUUGGUGCUACUGAGAUCUGAUAAAAGGGUAAUCAAUGUGAUGUAAACUAUAAGACAAAUGUUUAAAAGGUUAAUUGUAUGAAUCCUGUCAUGAGUUAAAUUAUUCAGAGUGUUCAUUAUAGAGAAUAAUCCAAAGUUAAAAUAAUUGGAUAAUUUAUUUGUAUGUAGGAUAAAAGUAGUAGGAGAUUGCUUCUUGAAGAUUUAAAAUUAUAUUGAGUGUAAUUAUUUGCAUUAAAAUAAUUUUAAAUGUUUUGAAUAGCAAGUAUUGAUAUAAUUAAACUUUCGAAUAACUUAGUGCUUUGCCUUUAUUCCUAAUGUUUAUAUGGAAGCAUGUGGUCAAUGUUUGAUGCAUUACAGCUCUGAGCGGUCCUUCUGUAUUAGGUGGUCAUCAUUUAUAUACUUCUCCAUAAAAGAUUAAGGACCUGGAAAUGUAAGAUACAUGAAGAAAAUCUAAGUGGAGAGGCUGUUUGUGGUUAAGUGAUAACAGUGUUGUAAGCGAUGCAUGAGGUAGGUGUUCAGUGCAUAUCCUCUGCAUUUUAUUAAUAAACACUGUAAAAUUUAGAAGAAAAUUGUUUCACCAAAUGCACAUAAAACUAAUAAAAUAGAGUGGAUUUUGAUAUGUCUCAG
rnacentral:lncRNA from 10 species